UACGUAGGGACCAAGCGUUGUUCGGAUUUACUGGGCGUAAAGGGCGCGUAGGCGGCGUGGUAAGUCACUUGUGAAAUCUCUGAGCUUAACUCAGAACGGCCAAGUGAUACUGCUGUGCUAGAGUGCAGAAGGGGCAAUCGGAAUUCUUGGUGUAGCGGUGAAAUGCGUAGAUAUCAAGAGGAACACCUGAGGUGAAGACGGGUUGCUGGGCUGACACUGACGCUGAGGCGCGAAAGCCAGGGGAGUAAACGGG
rnacentral:rRNA from 1 species